rnacentral:rRNA from 1 species
AGAGUUUGAUCCUGGCUCAGGAUGAACGCUGGCGGCGUGCUUAACACAUGCAAGUCGAACGGUGAAGCCUGCUAUUUAUAGUGGGUGGAUCAGUGGCGGACUGGUGAGUAACACGUAGGUAACCUACCCUCGAGGCGGGGAUAACGGCUGGAAACGGUCGCUAAUACCCGAUAGGCUCUGGGACCUGGGAUGGUUCGAGAGGAAAGCGCUCCUUCGGGAGAGGCGCUCGAGGAGGGGCCUGCGGCCCAUCAGGUAGUUGGUGUGGUAACGGCACACCAAGCCGAUGACGGGUAGGGGGUGUGAGAGCAUGACCCCCCACAAUGGGACUGCGACACGGCCCAUACUCCUACGGGAGGCAGCAGCAGGGAAUCUUGCGCAAUGGACGAAAGUCAGACGCAGCGACGCCGCGUGGGUGAGGAAGGUCUUCGGAUUGUAAAGCCCUUUUCUGGGGGACGAGGAAGGACGGUACCCCAGGAAUAAGCGUCGGCUAACUACGUGCCAGCAGCCGCGGUAAGACGUAGGACGCGAGCGUUAUCCGGAUUUACUGGGCGUAAAGCGCCUGUAGGCGGUCGGGUAAGUCGGUUGUGAAAGCCCGUGCUCAACGCGGGGAAAGCCAGCGAUACUGCCGGACUUGANGGUGGCAGAAGGGAGUGGAAUUUCCGGUGUAGCGGUAAAAUGCGCAGAUAUCGGGAGGAACACCAGUGGCGAAGGCGGCUCCUUGGGGCACACCUGACGCUGAGAGGCGAAAGCCUAGGGGAGCGAACAGGAUUAGAGACCCUGGUAGUCCUAGCCCUAUACGCUGGAUGCUAGGUGUGGGGGCGAGAAGGUCCGUGCCGCAGCUAACGCGCUAAGCAUCCCGCCUGGGAACUACGGCCGCAAGGCUAAAACUCAAACGAAUUGACGGGGACCCGCACAAGCAGCGGAGCGUGUGGUUUAAUUCGAUGCUACACGAAGAACCUUACCUGGGUUUGACAUACAGGUGGUACCGAACCGAAAGGGGAGGGACCCUUCGGGGAGCCUGUACAGGUGCUGCAUGGCUGUCGUCAGCUCGUGCCGUGAGGUGUCGGGUUAAGUCCCGUAACGAGCGCAACCCUUGCUCUUAGUUAUACGUGUCUAAGAGGACUGCCGGCGACAAGCCGGAGGAAGGUGGGGAUGACGUCAAGUCAGCAUGGCCUUUAUAUCCAGGGCUACACACACGCUACAAUGGUCAGUACAAUGGGCAGCCAACCCGCGAGGGGGAGCGAAUCCCAGCAAAGCUGAUCCCAGUUCGGAUUGCAGGCUGCAACCCGCCUGCAUGAAGUUGGAGUUGCUAGUAACCGCGCGUCAGCCAUAGUGCGGUGAAUACGUACCCGGGUCUUGUACACACCGCCCGUCACGUCAUGGGAGUUGGCAACGCCUGAAGCCGGUAGCCUGACCUAACGGAGGGCGCCGUCGAAGGCGGGGCUAGCAACUGGGACGAAGUCGUAACAAGGUAACC